CCUACGGGGGGCAGCAGUGGGGAAUAUUGGACAAUGGGGGGAACCCUGAUCCAGCGACGCCGCGUGAGUGAAGAAGUAUUUCGGUAUGUAAAGCUCUAUCAGCAGGGAAGAAAAUGACGGUACCUGACUAAGAAGCCCCGGCUAACUACGUGCCAGCAGCCGCGGUAAUACGUAGGGGGCAAGCGUUAUCCGGAUUUACUGGGUGUAAAGGGAGCGUAGACGGCUGUGCAAGUCUGAAGUGAAAUGCCGGGGCCCAACCCCGGAACUGCUUUGGAAACUGUACAGCUAGAGUGCAGGAGGGGUGG
rnacentral:rRNA from 1 species